AAAUGGGGAGGGCUUACACAUGCAAGUCGAGGGGUAACAUUGUGCUUGCACAGAUGACGACCGGCGCACGGGUGCGUAACGCGUAUAGAACCUACCUUUUACAGAGGAAUAGCCUUUAGAAAUGAAGAUUAAUGCCUCAUAGUAUUGAGUAAUCGCAUGAUUAUUUAAUUAAAGAUUUAUCGGUAAAAGAUGGCUAUGCGUCCUAUUAGUUAGUUGGUAAGGUAACGGCUUACCAAGACAUCGAUAGGUAGGGGUCCUGAGAGGGAGAUCCCCCACACUGGUACUGAGACACGGACCAGACUCCUACGGGAGGCAGCAGUGAGGAAUAUUGGACAAUGGAGGAGACUCUGAUCCAGCCAUGCCGCGUGUAGGAAGAAUGCCCUAUGGGUUGUAAACUACUUUUAUACAGGAAGAAACACUGGUAUGUAUACCAGCUUGACGGUACUGUAAGAAUAAGGACCGGCUAACUCCGUGCCAGCAGCCGCGGUAAC
rnacentral:rRNA from 1 species